AAGGAUCAUUAACAAAUGCAACGUUUGUUCAAACCCACACUGCGUAUCCGUACCUGUUGCUUCCCUGGGGUGACCCAGGGGAGGUAGCAAUAAACUCUGCCUUCUAUGAGGUUGGUCUGAACAUGAUUAUAUUUUUUUUCGUUACAAACGUUAAAACUUUCAACAACGGAUCUCUUGGUUCUC
rnacentral:misc_RNA from 1 species